rnacentral:tRNA from 1 species
GCCUGGGUGGCUCAGUCGGCUGAGCAUCUGACUUCGGCUCAGGUCAUGAUCUUACGGUUCGUGAGUUCAAGCCCCACAUUGGGCU